UACGUAGGGGGCUAGCGUUGUCCGGAAUCAUUGGGCGUAAAGCGCGUGUAGGCGGCCCGAUAAGUCCGCUGUGAAAGUCCAGGGCUCAACCCUGGGAUGCCGGUGGAUACUGUCGGGCUCGAGUCCGGAAGAGGAGAGUGGAAUUCCCGGUGUAGCGGUGAAAUGCGCAGAUAUCGGGAAGAACACCCGUGGCGAAGGCGGCUCUCUGGGACGGUACUGACGCUGAGACGCGAAAGCGUGGGGAGCGAACAGG
rnacentral:rRNA from 1 species